rnacentral:rRNA from 1 species
CGUCUAUAUACGUAUAGCAUAUCAAUAAGCGGAGGAAAAGAAACUAACAAGGAUUCCCUUAGUAACGGCGAGUGAAGCGGGAAGAGCUCAAAUUUGAAAUCUUCAAGGUUCUACCUUGACGAAUUGUAGUUUAUAGAAGUGUUUUCUGUUAGUAGAGUGGCAAAAGUUCUUUGGAAUAGGACAUCAUAGAGGGUGAGAAUCCCGUAUUUGGUCAUUCUUUCUAGCUUUGUGAUACACUUUCAACGAGUCGGAUUAGUUUGGGAAUGCAGUCCAAAAUGGGUGGUAAAUUUCAUCUAAAGCUAAAUAUUGGCGAGAGACCGAUAGCGAACAAGUACCGUGAGGGAAAGAUGAAAAGAACUUUGAAAAGAGAGUUAAACAGUACGUGAAAUUGUCAAAAGGGAAGCGUUUGACACCAGUGUUGUUUUUCCGAAAAUCAAUUACGAAUGUUUUAUUUUUGAGGAGUUAUGACUUCAUCGGCUUGCUUCUUUCUUUACUGAAACUUUCUUAAUGCACUUUUCGGUUAACAAGUCAACAUCAAUUUCUUUUGUUGUAAAAGGGUAUGAGGAAGGUGGCUUUCUUUUCGGAGAAAGUGUUUAUAGCCUUGUAGCCUCUGCAAUCGGAGAGAUUGAGGUCUGCAGCGUAGAUCCUUCGGGGUUAGAUACGUUUGUGCUAAGUUAUAGCUUUUCAUAGACAACUUGUUGACUAUGUUUAGUCUUGUAGCUUACUCGCUUAUGCUAUUUUACCUACGCUUAGGAUGUUGACGCGCGUGUGUGCGUG